rnacentral:misc_RNA from 1 species
GGAAGUAGAAGUCGUAACAAGGUCUCCGUUGGUGAACCAGCGGAGGGAUCAUUACAGAGUUGCAAAACUCCCAAACCAUUGUGAACGUUACCUAUCCCGUUGCUUCGGCGGGCGGCCCGGGCCCCGCGCCCGGCGCCCCCCGGCCCCCCGUGGGCGCCCGCCGGAGGUAAACCAAACCCUUGAAUUGCAUGGCCUCUCUGAGUCUUCUGUACUGAAUAAGUCAAAACUUUCAACAACAGAUCUCUUGGUUCUG